AGAUUGAACGCUGGCGGCAUGCCUUACACAUGCAAGUCGAACGGCAGCACGGGGGCAACCCUGGUGGCGAGUGGCGAACGGGUGAGUAAUGCAUCGGAACGUGCCCAGUAGUGGGGGAUAACUAGUCGAAAGAUUAGCUAAUACCGCAUACGACCUAUGGGUGAAAGCGGGGGAUUCGCAAGAACCUCGCGCUAUCGGAGCGGCCGAUGUCUGAUUAGCUAGUUGGCGGGUAAAAGCCCACCAAGGCUUCGAUCAGUAGCUGGUCUGAG
rnacentral:rRNA from 1 species